GCUGUGAAAAUCAGAUCAUUAAUAUCUGAUGUGAACCCAGACACUGUAAACACGAGCUCAAGAGAACAGCCCAUGAAGAGAUUAUUGACCCUUUCUUUGAGGAGCCUGCUGGCUAGGGCACAGAAGACGAGGGAAACAGCCUUGCUUCCUGAAUGGCAAGGUUAAAAUGAUGCUGUGCAUGUGUUCAUCAGCGAGGCCCAUCCAGCCCAGGUACUAAAUCAGGAUGGGUCCUUCAAAGUAUUCCCACAUCUUCAGAGUCACUCAGGAGAUUCCCACGGAUGGAGAGGGGAUUGCAGCGUGGUUUCUUGUUCUGAGCUGCUCAAAGUCUCCCUGCUGGCAGAGAAGGUGGGGACCGGUUUCACAGACUGCAUGUGGUCAAUUAAAUCCUGGGAAGCUGUGGGAAAUGUAGGAUUCCCUUCACGUGCAUUGCUUUCCCUGCCCACCUCCACAGGAUAACGUCACACUGCACCAGUAGCUCUGGCAAGAUCAGUGAUAAUGGGCAACAGAGCUGGUGACCACUCCCGUGAAGUCUCAUCCACUGGGCUAUCACAAAGAAGUUAAUCAGAUAAUCAGAGCUGACACAUGAACAAAACUUUACCCUCCAAAAAUCCUUCUCUCGUCAUCUUCCUGCAUAUCUCAGUGCUGUGCUGCCUGUGCACGGCAGCCUGUGUGGCUGAGUACACUUCUGGUGUGGUUCGUCCUCCUCUAUCCUUCUUGUUUAGCCUUCCCUUAUUGAAUCUGAUUGACUCUGAGGCCAUUGAUUAUAAAUAAGAUCUUGGGGGUAGGUCUGAUGGCUUUUGCUCUUUUUUAACACAGCAGGCUUUGAGUCCUGGUUGGGAGCCACUGAGCGCUGCUGUUAUAUUAAAUGAUGGUCAGCGAUAGGAAUGCAGUGGCCACUUAAUACCCCAAAUUACUCCUUGUAAGUGGGCAGGGUCUGGCUUUUGUCCAGAUCUCUGUGCUCCUGGCAGAAUGAUUCAUUGCCUUGCUCUGGCAAAUGUAUUUUCAUCUGUUAGUUUAAAUCUGACUUCUAGUAUUCUGUGCAUUUCUUACAGCUGAGGAAUUUCCUGCCCUUUAUCCGCCUGUUUUCUUCCAAUCUGGGCUAAAAUCAAUACACUUAAAUAAAUAAAACCACUGGGCUUGUGAGUACCUCCUGCUGUGUCAGUGGCAGAAGUUAAGCUGAGUGACCAAAGAUUAGUUAAGCCAUUUUCUUCUCCUGUAAGUAAAUUUGCUGUUGUUGAGGCACGACAGACUUGCCUGGGAGAUGGCAUUUCUUUGCUUGACCACAACAGGGACAGUUUGCCAGGCAGCAGAUCUGAGGCAGUGGCAGCUGCCUCUGGAACAGGGUCCCCGUGCCACCCCUAGCCCUUAGGGUUUGGUUUGGGCAAGGCUUUCUGGUGCUGAUCCUUCCCCUGCUUACAUGAUUGGGACCACUGCUCUGGGAUGGCUUUGGGAGUGGCACAGACAGGGCUGGAAGUGGUGGCUGAGAGACGGACAACCUGCAUCUUAUUAGUUCUCCCAUUCCUCUGACUUCUGCCUCCCCAGCUCAAGGCAUUUAGUAACCUACGUGAAAUCGCUCUCAGAGGAAGGAGUUGCUAUAGUUUUUCUGGGAGUAGAAUAAACUGUGAUCUGCAGAGCUGCUGUCCUGCUGGGCUGCGACACCCUUAGCUGGCUGGGGUGGUGACAGCACCGUGUAGGCAUUCCUGUUGUUUUUGGCAGGCCUGUUUUGGGAGCUCCUCUGAAGGUGAGCAAGGAUAUCACGAGCUGUGCCCCGAGCUGGGGAUGCAGCCGAGUGGAAAGGAAACCGGCUCUGUUUACACACAGAUACCUGUGCAGCCAGCAGCGUUAGCGAGAGAAAACAGAAAAGGACAUGACAGUUACAUUGGGUUUUCAUUAAAUAUUAAAUGGAGUGAAGUUUUUCUGGAGUGUGCCCGGGCUGCUGUCUGUCUGGCAGCAAGGAGAAACCAAGUGGGUGAACCCGGGUCCAGAGGUGCAGCACUGCCUGCUCAGGAGCCGCAGCACCGGGGACCCUCCUGUACCACCUCCAUGAGCUGUCCCAUCACUGCCGUGGCCAGAAGAGAAGAGUUAACUCUCGUAGGCAUCUCAGUGGGAGAAGGAGAAGGGAAACAGCUGAUUGAUCCAAGCAGAGCCUGGCUGGCCCCGAUUGCAGGAAGCAGGCGCAUCCCUGCUUGCGGCUUGUGCACCCCGUUCUGCCAGCUUUAGCCCAGAGGACAUCCUCCACCCGCCGCUGGCCACACAGAUGCUGGUGGGCUGGCAGGGCGAGGGCAGGAGCUGCUUCCUCCAUCAGCUUAGUGAGGCGGUGAGAGGAAUCUUCAAACGGGGCUGGGGUUAAUAAGUUAAAAUACAGAGCCUUAAUCCCCCGCCGCUAAAUCGGAAUGUAAUUCAGCUUAUAACCACGGCCCAAUCCAUGUGAAUUACAAUCACUUUAAAUACAGCUGGGGCCAGCCUGGGUUUAACAUCCUCCUGAGACAUCCUGGAAGUAGAAAGUGGGGCGAGCAGUGCAGCGGGUACCCCUGACACCCCAGGGAGCCACGGCACAGCAGGCAGGGGUCCCACUGCCUCUCUGGGACCCCUGGGGACAGGCACCCCUGGGUGAAACCCCGGGUAAGGGCAGGAGGAUGCGAGUGUGGCUCGGGUGUGAGCUUAUCUGCCAGGGAGAGGGGGGUGGAGGCUGCUGGCAAGCCCACGGUGCUUUUAUCUUUAAUUUAGGAUGUUUAUCUCAAGAGAUUCUUCGAGCUUUAAAACAAACGUAAGGAGAUCUGUGUGUGUCUGGUGCAUCUGGCCUCUGAAAGCAGGCACGCAGGGUCCUGGUGGCAGGGCUGGUGAUGAAGGCUCUGCCUCCUUCUUCCCUGUUUAACCCAUGUCAGGACGAACCUAGCUCUCCUUCUGCUGCCCCAAGGAGCCAGUAGAGCAAAGGGCUCUUCUCCCAGCUUCAAGCAGCAGCGGGCACCUGCAGGCGGUCCCAGGGGUGCCCAGGAAGAUCUCUUACUGCAGCUAGCUCUCACUGUUACAUUAUUCAGCCCCGGCUUUCACAGCUUUAUUGCUCAGCCCCAGUGGGGAAGGAACAAGUGCUCAUUGUCUCCUCAUGCCACCCCAGCCUGGGAAAGCGGAGAUUUGGGAGCCUGCAUGGGAGUUGCUGAGGUCUUCUGCCACCACUGACCCACAAACCUUCCCGGGAAGCCUUGGGCAGUGUCAAAUGCUCCUCAGAAAUUGAGGGUCUUGCUGGCUGCUUUUCCAAGCGUUGAGCUGGAAAUUCCCCGUGGGAAUGAAGCUUUACUUUUGUGGGCUGCUAGGCGUAGGCAGAGUUCAAGGAGUCCAAGUUACUAUAUUGGUGGGGAGAGAUCAGAAAAUAAGAUCCUGUUCCCAGACCUGUGCCUAUUCUUGGGCAUUGUUAGGAAGAUGCUGACAGUUUUUUCAUGCCACUCUAUUUUUUUUUUGUGGUUUCCUUGUAUUUCUUCUUCCUGUGGUGAAUGGCUAGUGCUGUUGUGUUAAUACCAGGCCAGAAAGAGAACUCAGUAAUUUCUCAAAGCCUGGCAUGCAAAGUGCCUGGAGUACUGGGCUGGACAGCUUGUGAGUUUUCUGUGGGUGUGAUGGAAGCGAGCUGGGUUCUCGGGUGCUUUCCCAAAGCCCUGCUAGCCUGUUUUCUACAUUUAGAUACAGCUUACUUUGCAGCACUGGUAGAGCUGAGAGGAGGACAGAUGUAGGGAAAUGCAGAUCCAAGAUAAACUGCCUCCCAGGCUCUGGGAUCCUGGGCUCUGGGGCAGCAACGCCUGCAAGAUCAGCCCCAGCCCUGGGCUAGAAGGUCAUCUUCCCAGCUCCUCAGACAAGCUGUGUGCAUGGUCUAUGACCACGCUGCUUUUGGCUCCUUACAGGAACAUAUGAUCAGCGGGUGGACCCCUCGCCAUGCAGCUGGGUUGGUGUGGCCCUGCAGCUGUUCCUCUGACUUCCCUGUUCCUCCCUGUGUCCACCGAGACUUCCAUGUGCACCACAGCCCUGUCCCCUCUCAGCAGCGGGACGGGCGUUCACCAGACCUAGGCCUUCCCAGCUAAAGUCAUCAAAAUGUUCUGAAUUUUUGUGUGGCUUACAAACACGCUGUUUGUUUCCCCGGUGCUUGCGGAGUGCUGCGAGCAGUGCUCCUCCCUUUUGCUGGUCUGACUGUUCUCGUGUGCCAUGCAAGCACGGUGCCAGAGGGAGGGAGAUGCUCACCCGAGCAAGGCCAGGAUGGUGCUGCCUUGUGUCACACUGCUUGCCACCAGGGCUGCCCACCCCUGAGCACUGCAUGCCUGCAAGGAAGGUCUCAUCUCUCUAGGGGUGAGCUGCCAAAUGUGCUUUGAAACAGGGGUGGUCCCAGGGCAUUGAGCUGCAUGAAGGACAUUGAGCUGUCCCACCUCGGACACAGAGACCUACCCCUACCGACAGCAGCCAAAGGACAGGUGUCGUACUGGUUUGUUUUUCAACAUAUUGCUUUGCUCUGUUGCUCUCUUUAAAACCUCUCCUUGCAGGUUUCCUCUCUGGACAAAUGUUAAAGGACAGUCACCACCAGGAGCCCCACCAGCAGCAGGACUCACAGGCAGGCUCCUGUUAGAGAGUGCCUGGCACGGCAUCCCCACUGGAAAGCAGGAAAUUAUCCUUCAUCCCAUGUGCUGCAAUGCACAAGUGGGUAAUGACAAAAUAAGGCUUUCAAGUGGUCCUCAUGGAAUUACAACAUCUGCUCCGUCCUUCGUGCAGGCUGCAAAACGGGGAAGACUGAGCAGUUUCAUGGGAGAUGCUGGCCCCAUUUGCUGUUUCCUGUGUGCUGGCAGAGCCACAGAAGCCACCACGAAGAUCACCCUAUGACUGCAAUAGGUCAGAGACAAAAGGACCUCUGCGUGCUCAUCCCCUCGCCCUCCAACGGAGUGACUGGAGCCGAGGGCAACGCCAGGGCAGGCUGAACUCCUGCCCUUGCCUUCCCCACAGGCGACCUCAGGACCAAAGCACCAGCAAUCCCACCGGUCCAGGCUGACACCAAGACACGGGUAGCUGGCUUAGCUCUCCUCGACCAUGGACGUACCUCUCCUAGCUCUGUCACUGCUCAGCGCCGAGACGCCGUUUGAGAAUAACAAAUAACCAAAAUGCUUUGUCAGCAUGAAAGCCCAUCACGCCAGCAUUGGCUGUGUUUGAAAUACAGAAGCAGGGCUGUUUUUGCUGAGGAACUCCCCCAGAGACAAGCAGCUCCUGCAUUAUUAACAGCGGUGCUGAUGAAUCCCUGGUAAUGAGGCACGCUCGCUCAGCCAGCCAGCGAAGUGGCCGUGGCCCUGCCGUUCACAGCCCACGUUGCAGUACUACAUUUGAGAGCAAGAGACGACUGCUCUGGGGAGCAAUUGGCAAUGCUCUGCUGUAAGAUUUGGCUACUUUCCCUAAAAUUUGCUAACGUUCUGCCAGGCGUGAGCUAGGUAGGCAUGGAAAUCCCACUUUUGUUCUCUGAUGGCUGUGAAAAGGGAAAUACGAGGCUGCUUUCCCAAUGACACAGACCUGUGAUUAAAGAAAAAGACCUGUUCCUUGGCUCAUGCUCUGCUCUGCUCCAGAGAGCAAUGUGGGCUGUGCCCUCUAGUCUGCUUCGUAAUGGCUCAACAGAUUUUGCUGUUAGGAAAA